ACCGAUCUGAUUGCGGUUCUUACCGCGG
rnacentral:sRNA from 1 species